rnacentral:rRNA from 1 species
GACGUAGGGCGCAAGCGUUGUCCGGAAUUACUGGGCGUAAAGAGCUCGUAGGUGGUUUGUCGCGUUGUUCGUGAAAACUCACAACUCAAUUGUGGGCGUGCGGGCGAUACGGGCAGACUGGAGUACUGCAGGGGAGACUGGAAUUCCUGGUGUAGCGGUGGAAUGCGCAGAUAUCAGGAGGAACACCGGUGGCGAAGGCGGUUCUCUGGGCAUUACCUGACGCUGAGGAGCGAAAGUGUGGGGAGCAAACAGGA